rnacentral:sRNA from 1 species
AUAUCUCUCCGUACGGGAAGGAUGAGAAGCUUCGAUUAAGGUUCGAUUCGAGCGCAGCGAGAAAGCGUUGCCGCAGGCAACGACCCGAAGGGCGAAGCGCGCAGCG